GCUUUUAGUACAAAUUUAGAAUCUUCUUGGAUAAACAAGAUUAACAACAUGUUAAUGUUGCAAACAAAAAACAACCUCAAAACAACAUGCUGUCAAAUCAAUUAGAAAAUUUUUAAAAAGAUAAUACAGAAUCGUAAAUUGAAAGAGUGAUGACAAUUACCUUUGAUACGAGCGACAUUGAUAAACUUGAGAAUUAUCGAAGUUCCAAUGAAGAAUUUUAGAAUUCUUUUCCAUUUCUACAUAUCUCUUUCAAAUCGAAUCAAGAAAGGGAUGCAGAAAUAUGAAACCCUAAAAUUGCGACACCGUUCAAAUAAACUUUAAGGGUUCGAGUAAUCA
rnacentral:lncRNA from 1 species